UACGGGGGGAGCAAGCGUUGUUCGGAUUUACUGGGCGUAAAGGGCGCGUAGGCGGUAGCACAAGUCAGUUGUGAAAUCUCCGGGCUUAACUCGGAAAGGUCAACUGAUACUGUGCGACUAGAGUGCGGUAGGGGUGACUGGAAUUCCUGGUGUAGCGGUGGAAUGCGCAGAUAUCAGGAGGAACACCGAUGGCGAAGGCAGGUCACUGGGCCGCAACUGACGCUGAGGAGCGAAAGCGUGGGGAGCGAACAGG
rnacentral:rRNA from 1 species